UCUUAGCUCAGGGGUAGAGCGCGUCACUAGUACCUCCUGCAGUCAAUGUAGCUAUGACGAGGCCACUAGUUCGAAUCUAGUAAUCUUGAG